UACGGAGGAUCCAAGCGUUAUCCGGAAUCACUGGGUUUAAAGGGUGCGUAGGUGGUUAAUUAAGUCAGUGGUGAAAUCUUACAGCUCAACUGUGAAACUGCCAUUGAAACUGAAUAACUUGAAUAUUUUCGAUGUAGGCGGAAUAAGUCAUGUAGCGGUGAAAUGCGUAGAUAUGACUUAGAACACCGAUUGCGAAGGCAGCUUACAAGGAAAUAUUGACACUGAGGCACGAAAGCGUGGGUAGCGAACAGG
rnacentral:rRNA from 1 species